AUGGCUAGUGCCAACAUUAUUAUCCUUGUUGUCUUGCUCUUCUCCUUGGUGCUCACGCUUCUGCUUCCCACUGCUGCCUGUGCUCGCCAUGGUGAGUUCCUCUCCGAUCUAUAUAGAUCAUGUGUCCUAGUUUGUGUUGUUACUUACCCCGAGUCCCAUUGGCAUGCAGCUCCAGCAGCUGCGGUGCUUAACGCAAAAGAUGGCCUCAACGACACCGGAGGACUACAUCAUGUGGUGGUCACUGACGCGGGGAAGGCUGGCCCUGUCACGAGCGACAGUGGCGGCUUCUGGCCGGGAACGGCUGAGGCGUGUGUGGCGUCAAGGCACCGGGGCGACACGGCCACCGUGAUGCAAGACAUGCUCGGGAUGGAUUACUCUCCGGCGGUGCGCAAGCCCCCGCGUCGCGCAGGCCCCCCGGCGCCGAGGUCUUUGAAAUAA
rnacentral:rRNA from 1 species